rnacentral:lncRNA from 1 species
UUAUUUAGAGUUUUAUAGCCUUUACCAAGGUUUUGGGUGCACCAAAACUCUCUGAGGGCCCAUUGGGGGCCCUGGCCAUUACCAGGCAUCCAAAAAGAUUAACAUUGACAUGUGCAGGGGUGGCAUUACCAGCCUUGUGCAUCAAACUUCAGUGGGUACGCAGUGCUUACACUAAGGGGUAAAACCUAUAUUCUAGAAGUAGUGAGAUUGUGAUAGAAUUUGAAGAAGUUGAGUUGAAAACAAUUGAAAGAGGAUUCACAUGAAAACAAUUUCGAGAGAAAAGUAAUCAAUUGAGUUUGAAAACAGUUGAUAUGGAACUAGUUUUGAAAGAAAAGAGUCACAUAGUACUUAGGGAACACCAACAGGGGCAAGGGAAAUGGAACAAUUAACUCAUAAGAAAAAAUACAAUUAUAUAUAUAAAGAACAUCAAGAGAAGUACUUCAGAACUUAAGCAAGUUUCACAGAAAUGGGUCAGGGUCUUAACAACAUUAGAUUGACAGACUCACACAUCAAGAAGAGGUUUAGAUCACUUAAUAGCUAAAGGGUCCUGAAUAACUUGCUAGUAAUGAUAUGGGGUUAGGGUAAGGCGGAACAUGCAGGAAACAAGCACAGGCAUACCAAAAUAUAUUAAUCAGCACAGAGGCAUGCUAAUUGCAGUAAGAACAACAAAACCAUAAGUAGAAGCAUACAAGAAACAACAGAAGUGCAACACAAAUAGAAACAUAUUACUUUGGAGCUGUAAAUCAAAUCAUAGACAUACCAGUUGAAAGUAGAGUAAUCCAUGGUAGUGAUGAGUUAUAAUAUGCAAGAUGGUGAGCAAUAGUAUGCAGAGAGUGUGCAGAGAGAGAGCAACAAUAUAGAGAAGCAGUAACAAUAGCAGCAGUAAGCAUCAAUAGUAGAAGUGAGAACCAAUAGAAGUGAGCAGCAGUAUAGAGAGCAAUGGAAGGGAGCAGCAAUAUAAUGGAAUAGUGAAAUAGUCUAAAUCUCAGCCCGAGUUUCAAACUAGUGGAGCAACUAGUAGUCACAAGAGAAGUGAGAGAGAUUGUGUUGAAACAAAGAGAGAGUACUGAAUAUUUUGUGUAAGAGAGAGUUCAGAAAUAAUUCUGUUCGUGUGAUAAGUGAGAAUAGAAGAGGGGUACUUAUAGUUUUAAAAAACUAAUUAAGAAUAGGGUAACAAGUACAUAAUUUUAUAAACAAUACCAAUUUGAGACAGUCGCAUGGUCUUAAUUCCUUUAAACUUGGGAUUCAUGAUUCGAAUAGGAGUAUCAGAUACAGGAAGAAACAGUCAGUCGAUUAAUAGGCAUGUAGCACGUAAUAAAGGCAGAGAACAUAAUGCUCCAAAUAAGGGAAUCAUAUGCUGUGCAUUUGAAUAACAUGUUUAAGUACACAAAUUUGGUAAGCAUGUAAAUCGACUCUGAAAUUAGUCGAAGAAUCACGGACAAGACCUAAAUCAGAGUGAAUCAACACCAAGUAUAGAAAGCAUCUCACUAGUAAGGCAACAGUUCGAAAAAUCAGUGUAAGAACCCUUAGGGAAAAUACACAAAUCAAGGAUUCAAUGAGAUGUACAUAAUCAUUUGAAUAAUAAUUAGACCUAUAAACACAAUAGGCGUGAAUAAUCAGAGAACAUUAUACUAGAAACAAUAGAAGCAACAUAGAAUCGGAACCCUAGUAAAAAAUGGAGCUCAGAAACAAAUAGGCUCGUAACACAACAAACACGUAAUACAUGCACACAUAAUACUCAAAAGAAACAGCAGAUCUAGCGAUUUUGAAGAAGGGGU